rnacentral:lncRNA from 1 species
CUUCCAGUGAGAAUGCCUUAUAUAAAUGGAGAAGAUACAAUGCUUUCUCCUUAAGGUGGGGAACAAGGGCAGAUAUGCUUACUCUUUAUCUGUCCAUUAAACUUUGAAACCUAGGCCCAAACCAAAAUAGUCUGGCAAUAAAAUGACACAAUUAGGAUAGGAUUGGCAAGGUAGAAGCAAAAUCUUUAUAUGUAGAUGAAAUGAUCAUCUACAGAGAAAAUACUAAGAAAUCUCUAGGAGCCCCUAGAACUUGUAUUUGAAUUUAGCAGGGUUAGAAAACACAAGGUAUAUAUAAAAAUUCAGGUCUAUGUAUACUUGCUUUAAAUGAAGAACUGGAUAUUGAAAUUUUAAAGUUAUGUAGGAGUACAAAGGACCUAGAAAAGUAAAAAGAAAAAGAAAAACAGAAACAGUGUUGGAAGAUGUUUAGUACUUAAUUUUAAGACUGCCUCUACAGCUACAGUAAUCAAGGCAGUGUUGGUGUAAGGAAAAACAUAUGGAUCAUUGGAAUAAAACAGAAUCUAGAAAUAGAACCACACAUAUAUGGUCCACUGAGUUUUGAAAGAUUAUUUAACAUUAGCAUUUUAUAGAAUAUAAAAUCAAUUCAAGAGCCAAGGAAAAGAUAGUGUUUUCAGCAAACGGCACUAGGACACCUGGUAUCCGUAUAUAAAAAAUUAACCUCAACCCUUUAUUUCCAUACAUAAAAAUACCUUGAAGGGAUCUAUGAACCUAAAUAAGAAAGCCUAAAAGUAUAAAACUUGAAGAAGAAAUCAUAAGGGAAAAUGUUUAUGAAUUUAGAGUAGGCAAGAACUACCUAGGAUACAAAAAACAUGAUGUAUAGAAGAAAAAAAUUGAUAAAUGAGAUACCUACCGUCAAAAUUUAGAACUUUAAAUGACAUCAUUAAAAUGAAAAGUAGUCCUUCAGCAGACCAUAUUUACAAUGCAUAUAACCUAUGACCAGAAUAUAUAAAGAACUCUUAGAGCUCAUUAAUAGACAACCCAAUUAAAAAGUAGACACAAGAAGAUGAUAGCCAGUACAGCACAAGGAAAGGUGUGCAACACUAGAAUCAGAAAAAUACUAAUCAGUACAAUAAUAAGAUUGAAUUCUACACUCAUUAGAGAGAUGAAGUUAAAAGUUUUAAAAGCCUUGUCAUGACUUUUUCUUUUUGUUGGAUUCUCCCCCUUUGUGUUUAAUUUGUCACGCCCAAUGGAUUCAUUCUGCUGGGCUUCCUGGGGUUGUGAUCCUCAUUGUCUUUUCCUAGGAUUUUGUCUAAAAUUUUUUGGAGUGCCGGUUUGGUAUUCAUGAAGUUCCUAAGGUGCUCUUUAUCAUGAAAGUAUCUUAUUUCUCCAUCAAUUUUGAAAGAUAGUUUUGCAGGGUACAUCAAUCUGUGUUGGAGGCUGUUUUCCUUUAGGGCUUGAAAUAAAUCACUCCAAGCUCUUCUUGCCUUGAGGGUUUGCAUUGAGAAGUUUGCUGUGAUUCUGAUGGGCUUUCCUUUGUAUGUGAUUUGUUUCUUUUCUCUCACUGCUUGUAGAAUUUUGUUCUUCUGUUGGAUUUCUGGAAUCCUAACUAUUAUAUGCCUAUGUGUAGAUUUUUUUUUUGAUCGAGGCUAGCUGGAGUCCUAUAUGCCUCACUUAUCUGUAUGUCAAGUUCUUUUCCCCUCCUUGGGAAGUUUCCUGCCAUCACUUUUCUGAACAGUUUUUUUAUGUCACCUGUACUCUCUCCUCUUUCUUCAUUGGCUCCAAUCAGUCUUAUGUUAUUCUUCUUUGCAUUGUCUAGCAGGUUCUGUAUUGAUUUCUCGUGUUCCCUUAUAAUUUUAAAGCAAUUUUUCUUUUCCUGGUCACUAAUUGCAAUCUUUUCUUCUAUAUCUGAAAUUCUAUCCUCACAUUGGUUCAUUCUGCUGCACAGACUUUCGACGGAGUUUUUAAUCUCCUAGAAAUCUGUUUGUAUGUGUUUUAUGGAUUCCAUUUGUUUCCUAUGUUGGGAUUCCAUCAUGUUCCUCAGAUCCUCUAUUUUUUUAAUGUGUCCUCUCUAGAUUUAUUAAUCAUGUCUUGCACUGUGAGCACAAUCUUUGCUAUUAUCUGAGAAAUUAUUUCUGAUUUCAUUUUUUCCAGAUCCUCUUUUGUUGCCAGUUGAGAGAGUCCAGGUGGUUGAGUAUCAGAUUGUUCCAUCUUGUUUCCCUUUGGCGUUGCUAUAGGUGAUCUGGAAGUCUGUUUUUGAGGCUUGUUUACAUGUCUUCUCAUUUCCACAGGGUGGGGGGUGCUUCUGACACCUGCAUGGCUCACCUUCUCUGCCCUAGGAGGGUGGAAUGGUGGCCAUAAUGGGUUUUUUCAACAGUUAUGUGGUACUUUAUUCUAGAAAAUGUGUUAAUUAUCAGGCCUUAAAACAAAUUUAUUGUUUCAUAAAAUGACAUAACUACUGAUAUCUCUUCAUCACACUAGAGAAUUAUAUGGUGACUUUUAAAUUUUCUGUGUAACCAGUGUGCCAUGUGCCAAUGUUUUUUCAAACUCAGUAAUUAUCUUUGUGACACACUAUAACUGAAUGCUCUCUGCUCAGCACUGUUUCUUUUCUUUGUUUUUUUUUUUUUUUGGUAUACUAGAUAUCAAACUUGGGACCUUGCUCCACAGGCAGCAGAACCACUGAGCUAAAUCCCUGGUCCUCAGCACUGUUUCUUGUUGAAACAAACUUCUGUCGGUUUAUUCCAGUGAUCUACAUUUUUGGUUGUUCAUUCCAUUGUUGGAAUGAACAUGUUUGGUUGUUAAUUCCAUUAUAAAUGGAGCCUGUGCCUGAAAUACAUAGAAGUUUGUUAUAAAAUGUAUAUAAGAAAAAAAUAAAUAAAAUGUACAUGAUAAAGGAUAAAACAAAGAUGAACAAAAUUUCCCAGCACUUGGGAGGCUGAGCAGGAAGAUCACCGCCAAUUUGAGGCCAGCCUGGACUAUGUAGUGAGUUCAAGGCCAGCCUGAGAGUUGUACUGAGACUUUGUCUCAAAACAACAAAGCAGGGUUGGGGAUUUAGCUCAGUGGUUUUGCUGCCUGCUGCUCAAGUGCAAGAACCCGAUUUCGAUCCCCAGUCCCCCCCGCCCAAAAUAAAAACACCAAAGGAAAAAACAAAUUUAAAAAGAUGAACAGAAUUAUUUCUAAAUAUCCUAUAGCUUGUGACCGCUUCAUGCUAACUACGUAUUUAUUCAUUUUAAAUUUUAUUAAAUAACUUUAUUAUCACAUACACAUACAAAAAAUUAAACCACUCAAAGAAGAGCAUUGCAAGGGGAUAAAAACUACAAUAAUAUUCAAAUACAGUAGAACUCAACCAAAACAAAACUGAAAAGCACUUAAACAUUUUUCCGUAUAACUUAGAAAAGCAUCUCAAGCACCAACAAGACACCAGAGGAUGUGAUUUGUUUCAGAAAGAUCCCCAAAACCAACAUUGAACAAAUAGUGGUCUGGAAAAAACUCCCAUUCGCUAGCAGACUCCACAUAAGCCACACUUCUCCCUAAUUUAAAUUUUGAUACAGUCAUAUGACACACGAUGGAAACACAAUCCGAGAAAUAUGUUAUUAGGCCAUUUCAUCCUUGUGUAUCCUUAAUUACAGUUUCAGUUUCUCACACUAGAGAAACUAUUUGGUAUUUACACAUGUGUGUCCUAUUUAUUUCACUUCAGAGAAUGGCCUCAAUAUGCAUUUAUUAUGUAUUUAUUAAGACCCAACAUAAACUUUGUUCAAGGUUUAUUAGUAACAAGAGUUUGUCAAUAUUUCAGAUUAUUCUAAUAAUGUAUUCCUUUUCCUCAGAUUUGAUUAGGCAGAGCCGGGGAUUUAGCUCAGUGGUUCCGCCACUUGGCUUGUAAGCGCAAGGACCCGAGUUUGAUCCCCGGUACCGAAACAAAAAACAAAAUUUGGGGGUAUAGCUCAGUGGUAGAGCAUUUGACUGCAGAUUUGAUUAGGCAAUGUCUAAGCACUUUUAGUUUGUUCCUAAUUUAAUGCUAACAACACUCAUAUGAGAUAGCCAUUAGGCUUGUGUGAAGAUCCAAGCACAGAAGAAUAAAGCCAGAGGGCACACAGCUUGUAUCCAGUAGUAUCUGCAUUCACAGCCAGGACCCCGACCAUCUCUUUUAAACAUGCGUCGUCCAGUCUGGUAGCCAUUAGCCAUAUGUGGCUGUAACACUUUAUUUAUUUAUUUAUUUAUUUUUUCCUGGUAUCAGGGAUAGAACUCAGGACCUUGUGCUUGCGAGACAGGCACAGUGCCACUAAACUAAACCUCCAGCUCUAUAACAAUUUAAUUACACCUAAAAAAAUAAACAUUUAGCUCCUCAGUUGCACUUGGCUAUAUUUCAAGUGUUCAACACGUAUCUUGUGGCCACCAUGUUGGACAACCACCAACAUAGAACAUUUCUGUCAUGACAGUAAGUUCUGCUUAGGAGCUCUGACUUUGGCCAUUGUCAUCAUGUUUUCAUCUUUUGCUAUAGCUUUAGAAGAGUCAUGCUAUGAGAUGAGGUUAAUUUAACUCUUUUUCAGUUAUUUGCUUGUGUUUGCAUAAUUAGAAAUGUCUUCCAUCUGGUGCUUCCUUGUAGGAAUCUUUGAAAGACAGAUAUCUAUUUUGUGAUGUCUGACACAGUUAAAACCAGAUAAUACUAAUCUGUGAGUUCAUCCGACUGAACACUUAGAAACUUCAGGUGGAAGGAGACACCUAUGUCACCAGCUUCUUGAUGUUGUGAAAUCCCUCACCUAUUGUGUGACACUAUUCAGCUGAGAACUUUAGCAGCAAUGUAGACAAAUGCUAGAUGUAGAAGAGGUUUGAGUCUGGUCUCCUUCUGUCUCUUGCAUGGUUCUUGGAGAAUAUGAACACCCUGGAUCUUUGACCUUGUGCCUGUGACCUGUUGAUUACCCUUUUCUCCAAUGCCCUACUCUGAUAUCAUUGCUUUUUCUGUCUUCACUUUUGCCAAAGAAUAAACAGAUUUUCAAGCUAGAGAUAUGCAGGACUGUAGAUAGCAAGGAGACUAAAAUCUUAAGAGCACAGAUGCUUACUGUGUGAGGCACAGGGCCAGGAAGAGGCAAAUGAAAGUAUGAAAAAUAGGAGUUCUUCAAAGUUGUUUUCAUUGAAUUUUCUUCAGAAAAAUGUCCUCAUUGCUUCUGUGACAUGAUAAAAUUAUUAAUGUUUUCAUGGAUCUUCUUCUUAGAGUGCCAUAUAUUGUUUGAUUUACUAUUUCACUAGCUCUCUAUGAAUUCAUGAAAAGUUGACAUUUUAUAAUGUAAGGAGGCUUGAUAUUUGUUUUUUCCCUUGGAUGGCACAACAAAAUGGAGGCAAAUGAGAUUUCCUUUGCCAGUACUUUCCAAACUGCCUCACAGUUGUGCAUGUGGUGGUACAGUGAAAGGUGGCUGGAAGCCAGGGGACAGCGUCACCUCAGAGCACAGCGUGACCGGGCGUGUUGGAUGACUUGUGCAGGGCUGUCCCACACGUUCCUGGAAAUUCUCAUCUCUGGCCACUGCUUACAAAUGCCAGUGUGACCAGACAGUCGUAAACGCCUUCCUUCUCCGUGGAGCCCUCGUGAUGGGUGAGCAGCUGGUGGGCCUGCUGUGUUCUCUCCAGACUCAGUAGUCUCUCAGCUGAUGAGACACAAGAUUACUCAGCUGCAUCACUGAAAAUCGGAGAGCAGGUUUCCAUCCAGAAUGAAAGCUUGUUAUUUGAAUAGUUAAGCAUCUGCCAUGUGCCUGCUCUCUGCUCUACCCUUUAUGUGCAUCUCCUGUUCCAUACCCACUGUACCAUGUGAGGCGGAUGCAGUACCCAUGUUUAUAGGUGAUGGAACAGUGAAGUGUUACAGUUAACUAUGUUCUCUGUGUAGGUACCAGCUAUAUUCAUGAACAAGAAAAACACUUUUUUUGUGCUUAGGGAACUUGGGAUUGCACAGCUAAGCAAGCAGAAGGGUCAACAUUUUAAUGAUAUGCCAUUUCUAGCAGAGCACAUUACCUCCUCUUUCUUCCACUAAGGCCACCUAAACUACCUGCUGGAAGAAGAAUCCCGCCAGCCCCAUUAAUCAGAAUUAGUGACCUGCAACUAUCUUUUCAAGACAUCACCACUGUGCAGUGAGUGUUCUGGCCUUUCUCCUGCAGGGGGCUGCUGGAGAGUGUGUGAAUAGUGCCCCCUGGGGAAGCUCGGUGCACAGAGUGCAGGGCCGUUGCCAAGGCGGGGCUGGGGUGAGGUAGGCAGCAGCCUCCACCUGGACCAGCUCGCCUUCCUCUGCGCCCACCUAGGUUUUCAGGUUCUGGCCAACUACUCGCUGUUUCCUCCCUGUCUAAUAUCUGCUUUCUCUCUGCUUCCCUCCGCUUCCUCCCUUUCUUCCUUUUACUCGCACAGUAUUUUUGAACCCUUCACUGUUUCUCCAUGUUCUAGGACUAUGAUAAAACAGCCAUUAAAACACAGAGAGUCCCCGACCUCAAGGGUCACACCAGUCAGAAUGCUUUCGGUCCCUUUUGCUUUGUGCUCACCACAGUCUUCAGGUGUACGGCGUCCUUCUGUUGCUAUGGUGAUACUUAUGUGGAACAUUGGCCAGAAGAACGCUGAGGCACAUUCACUUAAGUGGCAUUCUUACGUGGACCGGUAUGCCCACGGUCCGUUGGUAUUCCAGUGUCCAGGCUGGCGUGCCCGGCUUUGCACGAAGAAGCACUGCGUAAGACAUCUUACUUCAUCUUCCUGCUCGCAGGCAUCAAGUGAGAAGCCGCCACCAGAGUGCUUCCCACCCCACCAGGGACACCUGGUUGCCUGUCCCGGCUAGUCUGUGUCACACACCUGCUAGAUAUCAUGGACAGAAGAGAGGAAGAGGAAACGGCUCAGCAAAUUAGAUGACUCAAAAAGGUGGUUGCCUGGUGAUUCAGAAGACUGAAUGCUAGAGCUGGCUGUUUCUUCAUUUCUUAUUCCACUGACUCCUACGAGGACACCAGCUGAGGCAUACCUUGUCAUAUCUAUGAAAGAAAAAUUUAUGUGCAUCUAAAGUAGAGACUAGAAGGGAACUCAGGAGGAACAGAAUCUUUGAAAAGCCCCUAUCUUGGUGUCCUAAUGAUUCUUAUUAAUGCUUAGGUUUUUGAGGCCACGGAGCCACCACUGAAUCCUGUCUCUGUUGUGUAGAAACUGUGUGAUUUGGGAUGAGUUGUUUAACCUCUUCAUCAAAAACAGAACCGCUCCCCACACCACUGCCACCAAAAGCAAACCUUUAUUGGCACUUGAUGAGGACCUGACUGGGUUGAGAACGCGCCCAAGCUUCGGGACCCCUGUGCCGACGCUGUUGCAGUGCCCCAUCCCUCCCAGUCUUGAGUGGGUAAGAAUGUGCCCCUACCUCCAGCUCAAGUGGCUGAAUACAGAGCAGUUACAGCCAUGGAGGCCUAAGUAGAAACCUGCAGGGGUUCGGCCUGGGCCUCCCAGGGCACCCUUUUGGCUCCUCAUGUGAGUGACAUCCCGAGGUGCAGCACCUGUCUUGUGCUCCUGAGGCGGAGGCGGCAGCAAUCACGGGUCCGUCAUGCCUGACAUGUCUGAAGUGCCGCGCCGACGUCCCCAGUCAGCUUCUCGGGCCUCUGGAGUAGGGACAAAGCGCCAGCCCUCCUCUACUGAGCCAUGUGUCAGGCGUUCCUUGGCUUGCAGCAGAAGCUGGUCUUCCUUCCUGCUGCAGAAUGUACCAUGAUUCUCUCCAGUCUCCAGAUGGACAGACUGAAGCUCAGGAUGUUAAACAUUUGGAUUUGCUCAGCCAGUCAGUGAUAAAAUGGAUCUCAGAUCUCCAAGGCUGGCUUCAGAACCUGCGCUCUCAGUCACUUACCUUGUGGCAUUUGUGGGGAGGAAAUGAAAUGACUUAAGUAAAGCACAUCGGCAUUAGCUCGGUAUGUGGCAUGUGAGAGGUUGUUGAAAUGUUGUGAUCUUUCCCACAAUCACCACUCCGUGUUCGUGCUUACCAAUCUAUCCUUGGGUUUUGAUUCUCAUUCAGUUAUUCUCCAUUCUGUCCUUUUCUCCGAAAAGGUUAGUAUUUGCUUUCCAUGCUUAAACAAUUGAGUGUAAUGGAUAUAGUAGGUAGUCUGUAUGUUUGUUGAAUGAGUAAAUGAGUAAUUCUCUUAAAAGAAUAUUUCCUAAAGAGCCAGGCAUGGUGGCACUAGGGAGGCGCCUGAGACAGGAGGAUCACCAUGAGUUUGAGGCCAAUCUGGGCUAUAUAGUGAGUUAAAGGCCAGCCUGAAGUGCAUAGUGAGACCGUGCCUCAAAACAAACAAACAAAAACCACCCAAGAAUAUUUCUUAAGCAUCAGUCUGAGAUUGCUGCAUACACUUUGAUAAGGAAGCUGCAAUGUUGUAUGUUAGCAAAGCACAGAGAAACCAGACUUCCUGGGUUCAGUUUUCAACUCUCCCGCUGGCUGAAGAGCUGUGUGACAUGGGCCGUGACUUAGCCUGAGGACUGCACUCUCUGUCUGUAGGAUGGAAAUGAUCAUCUGCAUUGCAUCAGAGUAUUGUUAGCUCUAACUGAAAUACCACUUCUGAAAGUUUUCAGAGGGACUGGUGGAGCAGUCAAUAAACAUUAGCUUUAUCGCAAUAAUUAGUUAACUGUUUUUACUAACUUAUAUGCACCCUACCAAAAGUGGUUCCAGUGGAUGAAGCAGAGUUGAAAACAAGAUCCUUUGGGUGGCUGAUGCAGAAAGUCAAAUUUGAUCCAUGAGGAGUUCCCGCAUCCAAACACAGCAGAAUAAAAAUAAAAAUGUGUGUGUCCUUGCUGAGUAGCUGAUACCUACAUGCUGUUUUCCAUUACGAAAUAUAAAUUCACCUUGAGUUUUGGUGACUGCAUUUUAAAAACAAAAAGGAAAUAGUUAUGUAUUCUUAUCUUCACAAAUCGUAAAAUACAUUUUGCACCUGCCUGGCUCCCUUUUCUGUUUUCAGAUCUGUGUAUCAAUUUGUUUGAGGGCAGUCAAUUCUGCUUCAUCAGAAAAAGCCUUGUCAUGCUAUCUUAAUGUCAAUUAUUAUGACUUAAAAGCGAAGCAGUGAAAAUUAAAACAAAAAUUAGCAACUGUAGUGUUAACCUUUGUAAUUCAGUUUCUAAGAAGGGCUGAGCCCUCUAGGGAAAGCGAGGAGACUCAUAGGUUCAUUCCCCAGUGAAACAACCAUCACUGGUGACAGCUGUUUAAACUCUCUGGUAUUUGCUCCAAGAGUGUGCAGCAAAUGAAGAAACAUUUAUUCAACAGUGCCUACUAAAUAUGCAAGAAUAACAAGAGUCCGUGACACUUGAACUCUGGCUUCGAUGGAAGCUCCAUUCCAGGCAGAUGUAGCCAAACAUGAGGUGGUCCCGUCCCUCUGGGUUCUUGGUCAGGGGACCCCGUGUCUCCCAGGAGGAACCGCCAGUGGUGUUUCUAGUCCCCUCAGUCUCAUUUCACAGAGCUUACUGUUUACUGGGAGUCGAUCAGCCCCCAGGCACAGGACACAGCUUCUCCCCUACUCGAGUCCCUGCUCACGAAGCAGGAGAAGCGGGCCAGGUACAUCCAGUGCCCUCGGUUGCCCAGGGUAAGGAAGUGGCCCAGAAGAAUAGAAUGGUGUUCUCCCCCAAAGACACUGACUUUAUUUGAAGAAGUGAGGGGUGUUCAGACCCAAGAGUUACCUCUAAAACAAUGGCAGUUUGGUAGUAAGAAGCUUAAAAGGGUCUGGUGGCUCCAGGAAAGUGACCAGUUAAAUCAGAGGCCAGCUGAGUUACUAGAGAGAACCUAAAGAAGAGAGCUCGACUAACAGCAUUCCUGCAGUGAGGAAAUAAAAUUAAAAAUGAACCCUCAAAGACUGGCCUAAAAAAUACCCUGCUUGAAUUUAAUUAAAUCAAAUUGUGGAGCAACCUAUAUGCCAGAGAAUUGUUGGAAAGAAGAGAACAAUCAGCAAAGCCAUCAGGAGAGAUGAACAGCUGGGUGUGAUGUAAUCAAGAGGGACCACUAAACAGAGCAGGGAAAGGGACAAAGGCCUGCUAGAGCCAGUGUCCCCCAGGGUGACUGUGUAGGCCAGCGGCUUCACACUGCACCGGUGGAGCGCUGGGAUUUGAGCUCAUGGAAGUCAUGUACCAGGUCAGUAAGCCAACAAGAAAAGCCAAAAAGAAAAGCUGCAGGUUAGGAGAGAAAUGAGUAUUCAGAGUUGCUAUUGUAUAUUACUGGAAAAUAAUUUGUCAGAAGGAGGAGAAAGAGGAGGAAGAGGAGGAAAGAGAACAAAGCUCGACUCCUACCUAGAAGAACAUGCAAUAGAGUUGCCUGUGAGGGCAUCUAGAUGUCAAGUGUAACUGAAACUUCAAACAGUCAUUAUAAAUGUGUUCAAAAAACUAAUGAAACCAUGCUCAAGGAAGUAAAGGAAGGUAUGAUGACAAUGUCUCAUCAGGAAAUAUAGGUGAAGAGGUAAAGAAUUUUAAAAACCAAAUGGAAUCUCUGCAGUUGAAAAACAUCCUGAAAUGAAAAAUUCACCAGCAGGGACCAGUAGUAGAUGGAAAGAGUCAGUGAGUUGGUAGUGAUACAGAUGAAGACUUUGCAAUAUGAGGAGGAGAAGGAAGAGGAGGAGAAAGUGAAGAGCACCUCAGAAAUGUGCAGCACUGUGGUAUGUGCCCACACACAAUGGGAACACCAGGAGAGGAGGAAAGCGAAAGAACAGGAGAAAAGAACACCACAGGAAGUCAAGGCUGGAAAUACCCCAAAUUCUGUGGGAAUCAAUCACAUCUCGGAAGCCCAGUGAGUUAUAAGCAGGAGAAAUAAAUGCAGAGAGGCAGUAUGUUACAAGUGUUGGCAUACAAAGACCAAAAGGAAACUUUGACCUGCGGGAGAAGAAGGACUCAUGGUUCAUAAAGGAACCCACUGGGGCCGAUGCUGACUUCACCUCAGAAAUCACUGAACACCAGAAGGAAAAACAAACUGGCAGCCAGGAAUCUUUGGUCAGCAAAGCUGUCUCUCACAAAUGAAAGCAAAAUAAAUAUAUUUCUGGACACAUGAAAAUUGAGAGAAUUUGUCCCCUCAGGUCCACCUUGCUAGGAACAAUAAAGGAAGUUUUCAAGGCCAAAGGCAAGGGAAAGGGCAAAUGAAAGCAAUAAAAACCCACACAAAAAAUAAACAAAACCCAGAAAAGCUGCCAAAGAUAACUAUGCAACCAUCAAAG